GCACUGGAACAGGUUGCCCAGAGAGGCUGUGGAGUCUCCCUCACGGGAGAUGUUCAGACACCACCUGGAUGCAAUCUGGUGCUGUGUGCUCCAGGAUGGCCCUGCUUGAGCAGGAAGAUGGUAGUCCCUUUCAACCUUAUCCAUUCUGGGAUACACACAGAACAAUAAUCAUAAAAAAUGUACACACCUUUUAAUGUAGGCUGAAACAUACUUUAUCUAUAUCCUCUCUGCCAAAAUUAGAGCACAGUAAUUGAACACAAUAAUUUAGAGAGUGGUCCCAUCUAUAUUUGGAAGUGUAUCAAUACACUACAGAUUACAGGCCAGAUACCUAUGUUUGUGUGGCUACAAAUGAAUAGUGCCUAGCAAAAUACAAUUGGAAAUUUUUUGGGGAAAUCCUGCAAUAUCCAGAGAUGCCUUAUUUAACAACAAAGGUAAUCUUUUUAGCUUUGACCUCCAUGAUAAAAAGUGGGGGAAAAAAAAAAGAAAAAACAAAACCCCAGAACAUAUUUAUAAUGAUUCCUUUACAAACUGAAGCUCAUCUCAAUAAGAAUCCUGGUGAUUUAAAUUAAUUAACACAGGCCCAUAUUACUUAUUACAGAUAUUACUGUAGUAAUAUCUGAUUGACUGCUUUAUAAGUUUGGGGGGUUUUUAAGCUAAAAUAAUGCCAGAAGUUACAUAUUUGUAUAAAAUGUAAAACUAUAAAACACUGCCCUCUUGUGAUCUUCCCUAAAAAUGUAGCUGAUUAUUAAAAGGAACUUUUGGCAACUGUUGGCAGUGUUAGGGCUGUGUGGGUUUAUACGUUCCUUUCAUUCCUAUAUUUCUAUAAAUAAAACCUGAUUGUUAAGUUAUUAAUGCUAUCUUAAAAUAAGUAAUUGCAUAUGUGCUAUUAAAAGCACUACAGAAACAUCCUCUGCCAGCUCAAUACAGAUUCUUCAUAAGGCAUUUCCAAGACUGCAAUGGACCUUACACAGCACAGUGCUGGCGAAACACGACUGCACUACACGAUGCCAAAUCCUAGAAGGGUAUUUGAGAAAAAAGGCUUGUAGGAGCAUCCAGAAUACCUUUCCAGGAAAAAACCAAACAACUAGCUAUUGCAAGCAUACAUUUUCUUCUUAAGUGGAAGAAACUAAAAACCAGGGAAAGAGCUGUGGACACAAUUAAAUUCAUGUGAGCCUACAUGGCUUAGUACUGAAGAAGCAACCCUUAGCUACAAUUAAAGAGUCUGCUGCAGGCACAAGAGGGCAGACUGCUGCACGUUAUGGAUCUUGCCAACAACAGGGGUCUCAACCUUCUACUCAACUUUCUGCUCAUUGUCUUGGUUCUAGUACUCGCAUUUAUCCUUGUGAAGCUGAUGUGAACCUCUACAAGGCUCUGCUUCCUUCUCAGAUUUCACCCUGUGGAUUUUGCAGUGAUAAUGUAGACACUUUACUUAAAUACAAGUAUGCAAAGGCUGCAGAGGUUGAAAUAUCCAACAGUUUGAGAAGGUGUUCACACCCCACAUUUAUCAGAAAGCAAUCCUAAGAGCUGUGCACAAGUAUCUACCUGCCACUGAGUGAAGAAAGCACCUACAGCCUUGCUGAGUACCUGAAGAAACCCAAGAAUGCAUCAGCAGCCACUGUAGUUUCUCAUUGCUACAGCUGAUUGUUUAAAGAUUUACAAAUUAUUUGCAGCAUUCAAGGAACAUAGUUUCCUCAGAAAGGGUACAGCAGAAAUCAAAUUUUUAAAAUAGGAUUUCUGUAGAACAUAUAUUUUGUGGGAAAUAACAGCAGGAAGGCAAACCAAAAUGCCAGCUUUGAGUUGACAGCACACAUCAAAUUACCUGUGGAGAGAAAAGCACAGAUGCUGUAAAUGGAAACAAAGAUAUCCUCAAAAAGCAGCUUGCAGUAGCAGAGAUGGGGAUAAGUGAAGGUCAAAUAUGAAAACAUAAUUAUUAUUUAGACCUUUUUUGACCACCUGUGGUUCACUGCAACACCUUAAAAGCCAGAAGCCUUCUGUUAUCCAGCAUAUCAAAUGAAGCAGCUGUCAAAACAAUUGACAAAAGGCCAUUACCCAGGGUUAUCAUGACUCUGCCCAGGAAACCCUUAGCACACCAGCAGUAGGCGCAGCUGCACUAACCCGUGGUACACUACAGCCUCAGUAAGAGGAUUUACCACUUAUGCACAGGUCAAGUGAGCAGUGUGGGAGCCCUCCAGUCGUAUUUGACAGACCACUUGUUACUUGCCAGUGCAAUCGUCAGUCCAUAGCCUGUCCUCACCUCUAAGCAUGCAGCAGAAACGUCUUACAGGACCUUCUUUUGUGGCUCUUUACAGGAUGAUGUACUUUUCCCACAGCAUCUGGGAAGGAGAGUGACCAACAGGAGCAUGCUUCUGUUGGAAUGAUUUUCCCGAAGGUAGUGCUAAAAUAACAUGAGAAGUGCUGGGAAAGGGGGGGACCAGAAAAUUUUCAUGCAUUACACUGGAGCCAAAGAACUUCCUCCUAGCAUGUCACUUUCCCAAGUGAAACACAGGGAGAGUGUACAAAUGCAUAAUGUACAGUAAAUUUAUUACUACAUAGAUAUGCAUAUAAACACACAUGCAAAAGAGGUAGAUGUUGUUUCAGGGAUGGAGGAAGCCCCAGCUCCAGUUUCCUACUGCCAACAUCCCUGAUUCAGCACAUAUACUGCUGAGUGCUGAGUAUACUAUAGAGCUGAUCUAUUCAUGUUCACACCAAGAAUUUCUGUAUGAUCACUAUUGUUAUUCAGUUAUCUGCAGGAGACUCAUCUAAACUUCAUCUUUAAAUAGACUUUUCACAGGAAAAGGCAGUAUGCCCAGCAAACCCAAAAGCUCAAGGAAGUCCUGCCAUUAAUAAGUACCUGCAUUCCACUCCAUACUACCUGCUCCAAAGCUUACAGAGCAUUAGUGUGCUGGUUUUGUCUGGAAUAAAGUUAAUUUUCUUCAUGGUAUAGUAGCUAGCAUGGGAUUAUGGUUUAGUACAAGUCCAAAGUGUAGCUCCCUACCAGCUACUAUGAAGGAAAUUACCUCUGCCCCAGCCAAACCAGCACAAUAGCCUAGAGCAGCACAGAUAUUUCAAAUGAAAGCUUUCUUCUCACCUGCUCUAAAAUAGACAAUAGGCAAUAAACAUUUGAAAUGGCUUCUGCAAACUGCAUACCCAUAGUUUUUUUAAGUUGAUUGUUAUAGUAGUAUGAAUUCUAAUCUGUUUGCAUUUAAAGCAGGAAACUUUGCACAGCUACAUCACAAUAAGCACUUCAUCAUUUAUUUCGAUAAUAUUGAAAUAUUCUGCUUUAAAAAAAUUUGUAAAUUCAUAUACUAGAGAUAUGUGGUAAUGGUUACAUAGUUGUGUAUUACUUAGGAGAAUUCCUGUUGAUGCUAGACAUAGAUGGCUCAAAGCAUACCAAAACCACCAAAACAUACAGGAAACCCACUCUAGCCCAAAGAAGAAUAAGAACAGUUUUCAUAACAAAAUGGUUAUUCAUUGACAUAUUGCUUGGGACUACCCAAAGCCUACUGUCUAUAUCACCUUCUGUAUAUUCACAAGUUUCCCUAUCUUAGGGAAACCAAUGUGACACCAGUUGGCCCUGAAAGAACAAUAAAAUCAUAUAUUCCUUUUCAAUAAACUGAGAAAGAUGAGCCUACUGCCACCAACUAGCAUGUAUUUCCAGAUCAAAAAUUACAUACCAAGGAAGUCUGUGAGAAACUUAGCCAUUAGAACAUGGAGGAACAAUCCCCAGGUACAAUCCCAGAAGCCUCCUCUCAGCCAGCAGUGAACGUGACAGAAUCCUCAACGAAUGCUGAAAUACGCUGCUGAAACUGAAACAUGCAUUUUCCAGAAAUGACAUAUAAAGCUGGCAAAGUUAUCAGCUAACCAGUGCCAAGGCUCAUUUUGCUAUCAAGCACAAUCCAAGUUUGGCUUCCAAUCAUCUGCUAGCACUUACUCCAAACAGAACCUACAAGCGCCUUAUAAUAAACGGAAUCCCAUUUCCUGGGCUACCAACACAGCAAAAGGAACAGACCAUAAAAGCUUAGUUAUGGCUCACAGUAAAGGAAUCCACUCUGCUAGCUAAAAGUGACAAUCUCUCAUGUUAAGAAGUUUUAUAUUCCUGAGAAGUAUGGUUUCAUCAACAUGUGAUAUAGAAGAAAAUGUUGAUAUUAAUAAUUUUAAUUUUCUGAUCUGACAGGAUUAUAAAAAAACCUAGCUUUGAGUUGACAUUUAAGAAUAAAAUUUUACAUGGCAACAAUGUUAUCUGAUGAAUGUUGAGACUUUUCUUUCAAUUAAAGUUUUACAGCUUUGUUUACCAAUGUUUAGAUACGCAUACAGUUUACUUUCUUCCUUUUCUGCUUUGCAAUGAAAAUUGUUCUAGUAACUCUAAACUUCUCAUUGCAUUAAAACUUAAUUUCCAGCAA